AAACAAACAAAUAAAAAAAAUCUAUUAUUGCAAGUGCAUUAUUUAGAUAACACAGUGAUAAAUUUUAUCCAUCAGUUUCUAAUUCUUGAUAAAACACAAAGACUUUCUUGCUUUGCUGCAGACCAUGUCAAAAAUAGCCCAGAUUUUGGCUGACCACAAGCUUAGCAUCAGCACCCAGAAUGAUAUGGCAAAAUAAAAAACUAGGCAGCAUUGAAGAAUUCAUGCUUCAAUCUGGGCCACCGCCUCAUGCCCCCUCACUAAGGAUGGUGACCUGUUGGAUGCAGAAUGGUCACUGACAAAUUCCAGAGUCUUGAGGAGGAAAGAAAGUUUGAUAAAUGUGUUGCUAAUUUUCUCAUGUGAGAAAUGGUGAGAGGAAUUUAGAGAGAAUUGAUUAAUUUUCUUGUUUGUAGAAGAGGAAAUAAAAUGCCAAUGUGUUGCUCAAAGAUGCAAACUAAGGACCACUGUGGGGUUGCUGCAGAGAAGCAGACUUCAGCUGGGAUGACAGCUGUGGCAGACGUUGUGAUGUUUUCCACACACUCAGCUCCUCCCCUGUGUCUCCUGGUCCUCUUGAAGUUAGACAGUGCCUGUGUCUUCUUCUGGCCAAUGAAAUGUGAGGAGAAGAGUCGGCUGUGACUUCCAGGCUGAGGGAGUAAACGCCCAUGAUUCUCCAGUCCACCCCCAUGCCCAUCAAAGAAGUGUUCCAUCAUGUCACCAGCCAGGAAGUCGUGCAGGCUUGUCAGCUUGUGUCCAAGAGAAAGCACCCUUCUGGGAGGGGGCCCUCACGGAGUCAAUGGUGCAUCCUGAGGAAUUCCAGAAAUCUUGGCAUCCUUGUCAAGGGGCCACACCUCAGCCCACAAAGAUCUUCCGACAAGAGAAGAGAAUGGUGACAGGUUAGACUCAUGGCUCCCUUCCGUGUGACAGGUAUCAAGUUAGUUUAUUUAGAAUAUUUGAAAAACAGGUUCUAGUUUUAUAAUGUCUAACGUUCAUUUCAACAAAAAGGGCAAAUGUUAACUUCUAAAACAAAGUGCCAAUAAACAGCACCCAAACUCUGCUGUUCUGUUAG
rnacentral:lncRNA from 1 species